rnacentral:rRNA from 1 species
UGCCUAAUGCAUGCAAGUCGAACGCAGCAGGCGUGCCUGGCUGCGUGGCGAACGGCUGAGGAACACGUGGGUGACCUGCCCCGGAGUGGGGGAUACCCCGUCGAAAGACGGGACAAUCCCGCAUACGCUCGACGGAGGAAAGCCGCAAGGCGCUCUGGGAGGGGCCUGCGGCCCAUCAGGUAGUUGGUGUGGUAACGGCGCACCAAGCCAAUGACGGGUACCCGGUCUGAGAGGACGACCGGGCAGACUGGGACUGAGAGACGGCCCAGACUCCUACGGGAGGCAGCAGCAAGGAAUUUUCCCCAAUGGGCGCAAGCCUGAGGGAGCAACGCCGCGUGGAGGACGACGGCCUUCGGGUUGUAAACUCCUUUCGGGUGGGACGAUGCUGACGGUACCACCAGAAGCAGCCCCGGCUAACUCUGUGCCAGCAGCCGCGGUAAGACAGAGGGGGCAAGCGUUGUCCGGAGUUACUGGGCGUAAAGGGCGCGCAGGCGGUGGGCUGCGUCGGCGCUGAAAGCGCCCCGCUUAACGGGGCGAGGCGCGCCGAUACGAGUCCACUCGAGGCAAGCAGAGGGUGGCGGAAUUCCGGGUGGAGCGGUGAAAUGCGUAGAGAUCCGGAGGAACGCCGGUGGGGAAGCCGGCCACCUGGGCUUGACCUGACGCUGCGGCGCGACAGCGUGGGGAGCAAACCGGAUUAGAUACCCGGGUAGUCCACGCCGUAAACGAUGCCGGCUCGGCGUCUGGCGCACGUUAGUGUGCUGGGUGCCUUAGCUCACGCGGUAAGCCGGCCGCCUGGGGACUACGAGCGCAAGCUUAAAACUCAAAGGAAUUGACGGGGGCCCGCACAAGCAGCGGAGCGUGUGGUUUAAUUCGACGCAACACGAA